rnacentral:rRNA from 1 species
GACGAACGCUGGCGGCGUGCUUAACACAUGCAAGUCGAACGGUAAGGCCCUUCGGGGUACACGAGUGGCGAACGGGUAAGUAACACGUGGGUGAUCUGCCCUGCACUUCGGGAUAAGCCUGGGAAACUGGGUCUAAUACCGGAUAGGACCCUGGGAUGCAUGUCCUGGGGUGGAAAGCUUUUGCGGUGUGGGAUGGGCCCGCGGCCUAUCAGCUUGUUGGUGGGGUGAUGGCCUACCAAGGCGACGACGGGUAGCCGGCCGGAGAGGGUGACCGGCCACACGGGGACUGGGAUACGGACCAGACUGCUACGGGAGGCAGCAGUGGGGAAUAUUGCACAAUGGGCGCAAGCCUGAUUCAGCGACGCCGCGUGAGGAAUGACGGCCUUCGGGUUGUAAACCUCUUUCAGCACCGACGAAGCGCAAGUGACGGUAGGUGCAGAAGAAGGACCGGCCAACUACGUGCCAGCCGCCGCCGUAA